UACGUAGGGGGCAAGCGUUGUCCGGAUUUAUUGGGCGUAAAGAGCGUGUAGGCGGCCGUACAGGUCAGCUGUGAAAACUCGAGGCUCAACCUCGAGACGUCGGUUGAAACCGUACGGCUAGAGUCCGGAAGAGGAGAGUGGAAUUCCCGGUGUAGCGGUGAAAUGCGCAGAUAUCGGGAAGAACACCCGUGGCGAAGGCAGCUCUCUGGGACGGUACUGACGCUGAGACGCGAAAGCGUGGGGAGCGAACAGG
rnacentral:rRNA from 1 species